UUGCUAUCUGCGAUAUGGAAGAUUCGAACCUGCCGCAGGUUCGGGUCUCACGUAGUGAGACAACGGGGCCGCUUGCGGCGACGGCCCGAAGGGCGAGCAAAGCGAGUCAUCCUGCACGACCCACCA
rnacentral:sRNA from 1 species